CAUCCAGACUCCUACGGGAGGCAGCAGUGAGGAAUAUUGGUCAAUGGGGGAGAUCCUGAACCAGCCAAGCCGCGUGAGGGAAGACGGCCCUAUGGGUUGUAAACCUCUUUUGUCGGAGAACAAAACCCGGGACGUGUCCCGGACUGCGUGUAUCCGAAGAAAAAGCAUCGGCUAACUCCGUGCCAGCAGCCGCGGUAAUACGGAGGAUCCGAGCGUUAUCCGGAUUCAUUGGGUUUAAAGGGUGCGUAGGUUGUUUUAUAAGUUAGCGGUGAAAUACCGAUGCUCAACAUCGGGGCUGCCGCUAAUACUGUAGGACUAGAGAUCGGAUGCAGCAGGCGGAAUGUGUAGUGUAGCGGUGAAAUGCAUAGAUAUUACACAGAACACCGAUUGCGAAGGCAGCUUGCUAGGCCGGAUCUGACACUGAGGCACGAAAGCGUGGGGAUCGAACAGGAUUAGAUACCCUCGUAG
rnacentral:rRNA from 1 species